rnacentral:rRNA from 1 species
UGGGGAAUUUUGGACAAUGAGCGAAAGCCUGAUCCAGCAAUGCCGCGUGUGUGAAGAAGGCCUUCGGGUUGUAAAGCACUUUUGUCCGGAAAGAAAUCCUUGGCUCUAAUACAGUCGGGGGAUGACGGUACCGGAAGAAUAAGCACCGGCUAACUACGUGCCAGCAGCCGCGGUAAUACGUAGGGUGCAAGCGUUAAUCGGAAUUACUGGGCGUAAAGCGUGCGCAGGCGGUUUGCUAAGACCGAUGUGAAAUCCCCGGGCUCAACCUGGGAACUGCAUUGGUGACUGGCAGGCUAGAGUAUGGCAGAGGGGGGUAGAAUUCCACGUGUAGCAGUGAAAUGCGUAGAGAUGUGGAGGAAUACCGAUGGCGAAGGCAGCCCCCUGGGCCAAUACUGACGCUCAUGCACGAAAGCGUGGGGAGCAAACAGGAUUAGAUACCCUGGUAGUCCACGCCCUAAACGAUGUCAACUAGUUGUUGGGGAUUCAUUUCCUUAGUAACGUAGCUAACGCGUGAAGUUGACCGCCUGGGGAGUACGGUCGCAAGAUUAAAACUUAAAUGAAUUGACGGGGUCAUAGCUG